UACUUAUAUAGCAUAGUCAAAUAGUUGUUAUUUUAGUGAUUAUUUUUUUUCUCUUUGAGAGAUCUGAAAUUCAAUGGCCAUGGAAGAGAGGGACUGACAGAAGAGAGUGAGCAUACACAUAUAAUUAUAUAAAUAUUUUUGCUUAAUUUUCUUGAUAUAUAUUGUAUAUAUAAUUUUGCGAGUGCUCACUUCUCUUUCUGUCAAUCUCUCUAGGAAUGGUCAAAUGGUACGUGAGUUAGAUUUAGAUUGUAUUGUGAGAUUGUUUGGUUUCAAUUGUGUUAAAAGGGAGAAAUGCAAUGAGUCAAACCAUAGUGGAAGAGGAUCGGAUUGGCCUAACCUAUGGUGUACCGCCAGUUUUUUUUUUUGUUGGAAAAUAUCUAGCAGCAGCAGAUCAAGAAAAGUAAAAUUUCCAGUUUUUAGGUUUUGUGGAUUUGUAAGAGGGCAAGGAAGAAAAAUUAGUAAAGAAUAGAACUUUGAAUAUUGCUAUCAAUGGAAGUUGAAAAAGUUCCUCUUACAGUGGUUUUUUACACAUAAAUUUAUGUUCCGCAUUGGAAGUACUAUGUUUAGAUGAACCUGCUGCUAAAUAGAUGCAUUCGUAUAAUCUUCAUACUUUUGCCGAUUAUAAGUAGUUUGCGCACACCUCGAUCAUUUCACCGGGUACCUGAUACCUCCACAACAUAUGUAGCCCAUCGGGUAAUUUUGUCUGCCAAGGCUUAACAAAUGAGAACAAAACACCUUGCCUCCACUAAGGUAUGAACUUGAGAUCUCGUAGUUCUCCUCUCACUUUAUUGACCACUAUUAAUAGGCACAUCCUUGGGUGAAAUUCAUUUGAACAUAUAUAUUUAAACUAUUGAUAGUUGUGGUUGUUGUCUACAUGGUAUGCGACACCACACAAUGUUGACUAAUGUUGAGCCAGGAGAUAUUCCCUUGGAUCAUUAUAGCGCUUGUUGAACAGUUGAGUAGAAAUGGAUAGGUUAUAAGAAGUAGAAAACCCAUAUCAAUCUAUCUCUAUAGGAGACAACAUGACCAAAGGACGGGAACGGUUAAAUCCUUUGGAAAAGAAUUCACCCCCUCAUCAAUUAUAUAUUAUGAAAUGAAGGAAAUACCUCCAUUUCCAUCUUCUUUAUCAAAAAGUGUUCUUAUGUGUAUAAAUGGUAAAAGUUGAAAUCCAUGGUCUUGAAGAAGCUUUAAUUCCUAUAAGGCUUCUUUCAGUUUCAAGACUUAGUCUUUAUGCUCUUUGGUUAUGUAGCACACAUGUUGAGUAUAAACAUCGUUUUCGUCAAGUUAACAAAAGCCAUUUUACUAGAUAUUGUGUGUUUCUGUAAGGGGAAGAAGAAAGAAUAAUCAGUGAUAAGAAUAUUAGAGAGUUUUAAUUUUAGUCCUGUUAUUGGCAUAAAGGUUCUCAUGGAGAAAUCUCUGAUUAUGGUUUCAGAAGGUCGGAUAUUAAUGCAUCAAUUGAUACAAGAAAUCGGUUGGUAUAUUACUUGACAAGAUGCUUCGGAUGAUUAAAGAAGAUAUAGUAGGUUGUGGAUGCCUGGGAAUAUUUUUCAUGUAUUUAGAGGAGAUUUACCAAGUGUUUGCACAAACUAUGUUGCUUGGACUCUUUAAAAAUGGCGGUGGGUGCAUGUCGGAUCCUCCAAAAGUAGUGCAUUUUCGUAGGAUCCAACACGUGUGCGGCAUCAACUUUGGAGAGUCCGAGCAACAUAGUGCACAAAUGAUAAAUCUCUAAUUAGUUAUUAGUUCAAGCAGCAACUGAUGUAUGAUGUAACUUUAUAAAUAUCCAUGAUCAUACUUCUUUCUCCAAUUUUCCUUUUUGCCUGUUUGUUCUUUCUUAAUAAUCAGGGCGUUGAAAAGAUCGAAGGCAUGUGACUGAACUUGUAGUGCAGUUUCUCAGUAUCCAAAAUUCAAAUGUUUGUCAGGGUCCUGAUUUUCUUCAUGGUGAGUUGAGUUGGAUGUCCAUCAAGAAGUCUGUCUGUUAGUUUUCGGGAGAGAAAAGCUUGUUGUUUUGAAGUUGAAAGAUAGCUGAAUUACACAACUUUGGCAAGGCUCCAACGUUUAUAUAUGGUCGGAGUACUAAUUAUCUGGCUAUUUUGCUUUCUUGCUGUUUGAUUUGUUUCAUUAUGACAGGUUCUAGUAAGGUUGAUUUGUUUCAUCAACCUUAGCCAAUGACAGAAGCUAGCAAGGACCCCGGAUUUUUCAGGUACCAGUAAUCUUGAAAGUGUUAAGGUUUUGAUUCUAUCAGCCUGCUUAAAACUCGAAAAGUUCCUAAAAAAAUAGAAGAAGAAAUGAAUCGUUUUUCGAAAGUGUACUUGGAUGGAGCUUCUUUGGGAGAGGUACGCGCAUCACUUGAGAACCUUCCAGGGGUUAGUUUUAAUGUUUGAUAAAUCUUAGUUACUGCAAGCAUCUUGAGAAUCUCCCAAGCAGUGUUUUUAGAUUGAAGUGUCUUAAGAACACUUGCUCUAUUCGGGUGCUCAAGACUCGAAAAAAUAUCAGAUGAUGUGGGACUUUUAACGGGCUUAGAGGAGCUCCGCUGUGAUGGCACAGCCAUCCGAACACUUGUCUUUUCGUGGAUAUAAUGCUUUGGGUUUAAAAGUAGACAACUCAUUCUUCUCCGUUUGGC